AGCAGCCGCGGUAAUUCCAGCUCCAAUAGCGUAUAUUAAAGUUGUUGCAGUUAAAAAGCUCGUAGUUGAAUUUCGGGGUUAGUAGAUUGGUCGUGCCACUGGUAUGUACUGGUCUUACUGAUUCCUCCUUCCUGAUGAGCCGUAAUGCCAUUAAUUUGGUGUUGCGAGGAAUCUGGACUGUUACUUUGAAAAAAUUAGAGUGUUUAAAGCAAGCUAACGCUUGAAUACAUUAGCAUGGAAUAAUGAAAUAGGACGUUCGGUCUUAUUUUGUUGGUUUCUAAGAUUGACGUAAUGAUUAAUAGGGAUAGUUGGGGGCAUUAGUAUUCAAUUGUCAGAGGUGAAAUUCUUGGAUUUAUUGAAGACUAACUACUGCGAAAGCAUUUGCCAAGGAUGUUUUCAUUAAUCAAGAACGAAAGUUAGGGGAUCGAAGACGAUCAGAUACCGUCGUAGUCUUAACCAUAAACUAUGCCGACUAGGGAUCGGAUGAUGUUAAUUUUUUAAUGACUCA
rnacentral:rRNA from 1 species